rnacentral:lncRNA from 1 species
CCGGUACCCAAUGUGAACAAGAGUCAAACCAAUUAAGUCAGAUCUACUUUUUUAUGCUAUUAAUGGUAAAUGUUUAUACAUACAUUCUUGUAAUAGAAGGCACAUUGGGCUACUGAAAAUGGUAAAAGAAAAUGAAAGUACCCCUAUUCUAAGGGCUGGCCUCAGCGUCCACGCUUUUCCUCCCCGAAUACAUUUUCUCUGGGACCACCAUCUCAAGGGCUAAGGACAGGGAUGGGCAUCUGGUUGAACCUUGGCCACCCAGAGUGUGCCAUCUCUGACAGUGUGACAUCGGGGUGGACAUUCAACACUGGCCAGGCCAAGAGGCACCAUUCUGGGACAUUUACCACAUCUGUGAAAAGUAAGAAAGCGACUAAGACACCAAGGAAGAUGAGAAACACAUGGAACAGAGCCAAGCCCUGCUGACGUCCUAUUCCAGCCCAUGCUGGAUCCAUCAGCACCCAGACAACCUGCGUGUGCAAUACUCAUUGCCCCUGAGAGUCCAUAGUUGCUUGUUACACAGUGACAGCUGAUCAAUAAUCAGCCAAAUCCCAUCAUUUUAUAAGUGAGGAAACUAAGGCCUUGUGAAGGGAAGACGUUGUUCAAUGGCAUAUAGAUGGUAAAUAACAUCCUCAGUUCUUCUCAUCUAACCCAGGAUUCUGUCUCUCUUUCUACUUCAGGUCAGCGACGGUCACCUAGCAUCUAGUUUGUUCAUUCAUUCAACAAGCUUUAUGCUUCUAGAGAUACAUAGCUGAGUCACCAAAAUGAGAAAGGCA